GACGAACGCUGGCGGCGUGCCUAAUACAUGCAAGUAGAACGCAGUUGCUAACGGGUGAGUAACGCGUAGGUAACUGCCUCAUAGCGGGGGAUAACUAUUGGAAACGAUAGCUAAUACCGCAUACUGUGAGAUGCACUUGCGUUGUAUUAGCUAGUUGGUGAGGUAAAGGCUCACCAAGGCGACGAUACAUAGCCGACCUGAGAGGGUGAACGGCCAAAAGUGGAAUGGGACAAGGCCCAAACUCCUGAGGGGGGCAGCCAUAGGGAAUCUUCGGACAUGGACGGAAGUCUGACCGAGCAACGCCGGCGGAGGGAAGGAGGUUUUCGGAUCGUAAAGCUCUGGUUGUAGAGGAGCGGUAACUAACCAGAAAGGGACGGCUAACUACGUGCCAGCAGCCGCGGUAAUAC
rnacentral:rRNA from 1 species